CAGCCUCGUCACCCAGGGCUGCAAAUGCAGCACUGCUUUUCUUCUUAGAUGACUUCUUCUUACCUGAAAAUGCAAUCAUGGAAGAAUCAACAUCGUUAUCAUCAACAGAGGCAGCUUAGACUCGGGUACAAAUGCAUCUGGUUCAUCUUCUUCAUCAAGCAAUGCUGCACUGAAGGGAUUACCACUCUUCUUAGAAGACUUCGAUUUUUUCUUUUUCUUAUCUG